rnacentral:rRNA from 1 species
UACGGAAGGGGCAAGCGUUGUUCGGAAUCAUUGGGCGUAAAGGGCGCGUAGGUGGUUCUGUAUGUCUACCGUGAAAGCGUACGGCUCAACCGUAUUUUGUCGGUAGAAACUGCAGGACUUGAGGCUGGGGGGGGGCUGGUGGAAUUCCCUGUGUAGCGGUGAAAUGCGUAGAGAUGGGGGAGAACACUCGUGGCGAAGGCGGCCAGCUAGACCAGUUCUGACACUGAGGCGCGACAGCGUGGGGAGCGAACAGG